rnacentral:rRNA from 1 species
GAUUUCUGGCACGGUGGACCUAGCCCGCGCCGUUAGGUUGUGAGUGCUGGGUUUCGCCUGCCAUCCUUCUAGAUUAUCGUUCUACCCUUCACGGGGCCGGAUCAGAUGUUCUAGAUCUUUUACUUUGAAAAAAUUAGAGUGUUUCAAGCAGGCCAAUAGCUAUGAAUACAUUAGCAUGGAAUAAUCAACUAGGACUUCGGUUCUAUUUUGUUGGUUUCUAGGACUGAAGUAAUGAUUGAUAGGGAUAGUUGGGGGUGCUAGUAUUCAGCGGCCAGAGGUGAAAUUCUCGGAUUCGCUGAAGACUAACUACUGCGAAAGCAUU